UAUUCCCUCGGAGUAAAUAUU
rnacentral:piRNA from 1 species